CCUACGGGAGGCAGCAGUGGGGAAUUUUGGACAAUGGGCGCAAGCCUGAUCCAGCCAUGCCGCGUGCGGGAAGAAGGCCUUCGGGUUGUAAACCGCUUUUGUCAGGGAAGAAAAGGUUCUGGAUAAUACCUGGGACUCAUGACGGUACCUGAAGAAUAAGCACCGGCUAACUACGUGCCAGCAGCCGCGGUAAUACGUAGGGUGCAAGCGUUAAUCGGAAUUACUGGGCGUAAAGCGUGCGCAGGCGGUUAUGCAAGACAGAGGUGAAAUCCCCGGGCUCAACCUGGGAACUGCCUUUGUGACUGCAUAGCUAGAGUACGGUAGAGGGGGAUGGAAUUCCGCGUGUAGCAGUGAAAUGCGUAGAUAUGCGGAGGAACACCGAUGGCGAAGGCAAUCCCCUGGACCUGUACUGACGCUCAUGCACGAAAGCGUGGGGAGCAAACAGGAUUAGAUACCCUGGUAGUCCACGCCCUAAACGAUGUCAACUGGUUGUUGGGAGGGUUUCUUCUCAGUACGAAGCUAACGCGUGAAGUUGACCGCCUGGGGNGCGCGCGAGUAGAGANAGAGUGNGCGNGAGAGNGCGAGACGACGACGAGGGAGGAGG
rnacentral:rRNA from 1 species